AUUUAUGUAUUUCUAUUUUGUUGAUGAAUUACUUUACUAUGAAUAAUUGCACAUCAUUUUUAGGCUUUAACCAGAGAUUUAAUUUGUACUCUCUAGAUUUUAUAGGUGAUGCUGCUUGCACAUUUCAGGCGAUUGAUGAGAGAGUUUACACAUAUGCAUGACCAAGUUGCUCAUCCAACCUGAUUCUUGGACCAAGCAUAAGUUGUGGGUUAGUUUGCCUGCAAUUUGUUAUGACCAAGGCAACCAUCGAGAGAUUAGACAGGAGCUUCAAGUAAGAUUUUUGGAGCAUCUUUUGCACUACACCAAAAUCGUUUAUCAGGAACGGCCAGGGCUUUGAUUCGAGAACAAUUUUAAGCCAUUCCUGAUUGCACACGGUUCUACACCGUUUUUAAGUGUAGGCAUAACUCGAAACCAGGGAGUGUACAUGCUUCACCUUAUUAGGGCUCUUUGCUCCCCCUUUUCUUCAAUCUCGUCUCGCGUCUCUCUCUCUCACUCCCCCUUUUCUUCAAUCUCUCUCUCUCUCUCUCUCUCUCUCUCUCUCUCUCUCUCUCAGGUUUUAAUGGCGGUCGAAUGUCUGAGUGUGGAAGAACCCAACCAAUCCCUGCCAUUUCUAAUCCUCUUGGAUCGAGAUCUCUUCCAAUCUCAAUGGCUUCCGCGUCUGCUCUGCCUCCUCCUUCAUACGCUCUUGAGAUCCAAGACCAGUAUGACGAGAAAGAGGAUUUCGCCGAAUGCCAAUGCGCCUUCAUUACGGUAGCUCUCUGCCCUUGCCUCGUGAUUCUCAUCAUUGUCAUCAUUGUCGUGUCGAUCAUCCUUAUGUGCUGCAGAAAGCUGUUGUCUUAAGGAAGCAACUGUCUCCUGCAAUCCUUCAUACUCACAGAUCUGAUUUACCAAAAUGGAAGCCAGCUGUUAUUGGAUUACUCUGUUGUUCACAAUUUUGACCUGAAAUAAAUGAAAUGAUACGCAAUUCCAAUUGUGCCCCGACUAAGGUGAGGUUGGCUGAUCUUAAAAAAACAGUGUGAUUAUUUUCUAUCCACGCUGUUGAUAAGGUCACGCAAACUUAGAUGAAGGGGAAAAGUAAAUAUCAUAAUAAAACUUUAGUGGCUUGCAGUACAAAUAUCAGCUUGAUUAAAAACUUUUGUGGCUUGCGGUCCACUUGAGAUUUGGAUCUAUUUCAUUUUUGGGCUCAUGCCAUAAGAUGAUUUGGAAAAACAAAUAUCAGCAUGCUGCAAGUGUAGGAUUCUUCAGACACAAUACUUCUUAUGCUUAGAAGAAUGUAAUAGUGUUUUCCUAAUCUUGUUUGAUUUUAUGACAGUUGUAUUGGAUCAAUUAAUUAUGGUUGAUACAAUUAAUUUUUGCAAAAGGUGGGCCUCUCAUGCACAACUCUAUCAGGCCAUGCAUAUAUUCUAUCAAACAUUUUAUAUUUCCUUAGUAGUUGAUUGACCCUCCAAGUCCCCAAAAAAAAAAAAAGAAAGAAAGAAAGAAAGAAAAAAAAAGAAACAAAGUAGUUGAUUCCACACUUUGAGUUCUCUUUUUCAUGGUAUUGAGGUAGGGAUGAUCCUCUAAUACUGGAUUUACCAGACAGUUUCUUUCAGCAUUGCAUUUGGAUAUGUGGAUUGGGUAUGCUGAAAGUUCAUCUAAGCAACAAAGUAAUCCUUAUUUUUAAUCAAUUUGCACCUUCUUGUUGUUUCAUUUUGCUGAAGCCCAUGUUCCUGAAACAUUUCAAAUCCAGACAGUUGGUACUGCUUAUUGAAUUUUCUAUAAUCCAUGUGUAUGUAUUAAAUGCCUCGAUGUCGGAUUUGAAUCACUGAAAUUCCAUCUAACCAGACCAUGAUCAAUAUACACCCUUGUGUUCAGUUUCUAUGCAGGUAAGCAGAUAUUUAUAAGAAAAAGCUUGUGUGAUUGAUAGGUUGCAAUCGCUUGAGUGGUUUUGUUAACAUCAGUUCAACUUUAGGUUGCUUGCAUUUAUGAUGAGUAGGUUUUUCUUGAUGUUUCAUGUGUUGACUAUUACAAAAGAUUUUGAGGAAAGGUCAAAUUAUUAUGAUACGUUGCUUGCUGCUGAAUCUCAUGCAAUCAAUGGAAAGAAAGGGAUCCAUUCUGCAAAGGAUCCCCCGGUCAUGCACGUAACGGACCUGCUGACGCAUCUGCAAAAAAAGCUAAAGAUUUCUUGCCCUUCUUGCAACAGAGUAAAAGGUUACCCGCUAUUGUGGAUUAUGUCCUUAGUGGUCAUCGGUUUAAAUUGCUGAUCCCCAAGGAAACUUGCAGCAUUCCAUUCUCCUUCUCUGGUGUUAGAUGCCCCGGCCGUGAUGAGCCUUUCUCAGAUGAAGCAAUUGCCUUCAUGAGAAGAAAGAUCUUGCAGAGGGAUGUAGAGGUACCAUUCGAAACAGUUGAUAGAACUGGAACCUUCUUGGGUUCUUUAUGGGAAUAAAAGACCAAUAUGGCUGUGGUUCUUCUAGAGUCUGGGCUGGCAAGGCUUCAAACUGCUUUUGGUGCUGACAGGAUUCCUGAUUCACACCUACUUGCAAAGGUUGAGCAGUCUGCAAAAAACCAGA